AAAAAACAACAAACUAGCAAGGGUUUUGACCAUGGUUUUCCAACUCAUUGUUUUUUUUCGUACUGGUCAAAACUACUCACACCGCUUGCACAAAGUCUUCAUGGCUGACCAGUUUUGAUUCCGCUGGGCAGUCCAUGUGUGAUGAGGUCGAUUAUUACAUCAGAGGCUUCGAAAGAAGCUCCGCCAACGGCGAUCAUUCACUUAAUCGCUUGGAAGGUGUGGAAUGCUGCAGUGCGCCAACACCAUGGUCCGACAUGGAACUGCUGGUUGUAUACCAAGACUGGACAUACGAUCUGGACACAGGGAACCACUGGGUGUUUUGCCCUAAUGGAUAUUUUCUCCAAGGUUUGCAGAGAUCACAGGGACGAAAUCUAGAUAAUAUCGAAGCUGCAAGAUGUACUAAGCCAGCUAUACAUCCUCAUAGGCAUUCUGAUUGUUAUGAUGAAGAUAUAUCAUCGUGUUUUGACGGUACUGGGUUAUGUUCAUGUAGAGAAAAUUAUUUUGUGACGGGUCUCUACAGAUCAAAAUGCAAUAGUUUACAAUGUCUAGACAAGCUUGAGUGCUGCAAAAUGGCGGACAAGCUUGAGGAGUUAGAUGGAGUAAGCAAAGUCAAGACACGAAUUAUGGACGCAACGUUGUCGAACAUGGCCAACUUGGCACAUCUGAUGGGGUACGGCUGGUGCUCGGGUUGCAUGUCCAAUUAUGUAGGAGAAGAUUUUUACAGAGAUGGUGAGACAUGGAAGGCUAAUCAGAACGGAACCUGCAACGGCUAUAAAAGUGACCAGAGACUCAGCUUGGUUUUUAGCAACUGGAAAUUUACCAUAAAGAAUAUCAAAUAUGGGGAAAGUGUGACGGAUGAAAUUCAACCGUCAACUUUAGACAAAGGCAUGACUCGCAACAAUGAUUCGGAAACGGCAACGGAUACGUAUGAAAUAUCUGAAACUAUCAUGGAGACCAUUACUCACUCUUCUACCAGUAGUUGGACCAAUAGAAUAGAUUUAGGACUAUCUGUAACUGUACAAAUUCCAUUAAUGUUCCCUCAAAGCUCUCUAUCAUCGACAAGUACCUUUACAACCAGCUUCGAGCAAAGCUCUUCGAAUACUAAAGAUCAAAGCACUGCGAAUUCCAAAACAUUCAAGAAGACCAUUGAAAAAUCUAUAGCCCCAUUUUCAGCUGCUGAAUACGAAGUCAUUUUGCACAAAACAAGAACAACUGUACCAUAUACGGCGACUAUUAUUGCUAAAUUUUCCACGGAGUUCAGAGGUUUUUUGAGAUGGGAUGGUGGGAACGACAGUCCAACCUCUAACUAUCAUUAUCAAUUCAAAGGCAGCGAAGACAGGCCAACUUUUAAUUAUCGUUUUGGAGAUGAUUCUGAGGCAUUUUACUCAGCUCUAAAGAAGGAAAUUAUUACUCGCUCUAAGCCUUGGUUGUGGAAAGAUAUUAUAACAAACUAUCCCGACACACAACACCUUAUCAAUAGGCUCAUUGAUGAGAGUCAGUAUGAAUUUACACUAAGUGGUACAUUUGAACAUGUUGCUGGAAAACGAAUCGAUGUCCUUUGGAAUAAAGUCAGCAUGACCAAACGUGAAGCUCAUUUUGGAAGCAGAAGCAGAAGGCAAUGCAAUAUAAUUAAAGGAACACAUUAUGCAAGACCUGGUCCAAAUGAUGCCCCAGCUAUUGUUAAAUAUCCAGAAGUAACUCUUGUGAAUUCAGAACCAUAUCGUGAGAGUCCACAUUAUGUCGAGAACAAAUCUGCCUAACUUUCACUUUUCUUUGUUAGAAAAUUAGCUUACUGUUUAGUGAAAAUAAAAAAAAAUUAAAAAAAUAAGUUCAGUUUAUACAAUACAACAGUAUCGGCAACACUUUCGACACAUGCACGUCUCUUCUUUUUGUAUCGACGGAGAUAGGAUUGUAGUUGUUGAUAGUUUGUAGUUUAUUGUUUAUGAUAUUUUUUCUGAAAAUAUUGAAAGUUUCUAUUUUUACCUGCCAUAGCGGACCACUUCGGGGGCCGAUUUUGAGUUUGUGAUUCCACACAAACUGUCUUUGUAACCUUGUUUUUUUUUCUUGUUUUAUAAACACACAAUGAACGUUUGCGUUAGUGUUAGUUAAUUUCUAUACUUUAACCAAAACAUCUAGGGCUAAAUCUACAUUUAGUUAUUAAAGUUGUUUAGGCAAG